CAGCAGCUCUAUCACGCCAACACCGCGCAGAAUCAGGAGCUGCUGCGGAUCAAGACGGUCCUCAGAGAAAUCACUUCCAGAAACAGAUCAGCUGCUGAAGUUUUCUCUCGUGCAAGAGCCUCGCUCUGUGACAUCAGCAGGGGUGACGUUUUAGAGCAUUUUCCGAAACUACCUCUCAAACCACUCCCAAAGAAACAGAUCCUGAAGGUUAAAGGAGAACCCGUGCUCCUCCCGGCCAUCAAGCACAGUCUCGGCAGCAGCAUGUCCGAGCGGCAGAGGAGAGCGCAGGACGAGCACAGACUGCGUUUCAGGAGAGCGGUGAACUCUUAACCCUCCUCUGCGGUGCUUCUGUCAUUGUGCCUUCCUGUUUGCUGAUUAGAAGAGACGUGAGGAGUUUAGUGAACGGCUGUUGAUCACGUUUGAUUCCCUAAUGAACUAAAUAAGAAUCUUUCCAGAGAAGCAGCCAAAUGUCAAAGACGAGACGAGAGCUAAGCUGCCCGUCCUCCAACAGGAAGAUCCGUAAACUCUGAGACAGACACAAUAUAUACAACCAAAUCUCUUAGAAAACCUUGAUUUGAUGUGAAUUUCCCUGAAGGUUCCAAAAGGCUGAUUUGAGCUUGACAAUGCAGUCUAAAUUCUGCUUUAACUCUCUUUAAAUAAAUGCACCAGCAACAUUUUAUAACAUGUUAUUAUUUUUGUAGAGUUCUUGUUCCUGGACUCAUGCAAUGACCUGUAAGUGUUCAUUUCUUCACUAAGGCUGAGUAUGUUUUAUCUGUAGUGCACUAGUGUAUUAUGGCCGUUGAGAAGUUUUUAUAGUGCGCCUUGUUGGAUCUCUAACUGAUGACUACAACCAACUGGAUCCGUGCCCGGGCCUCCAGCAGACACCACAUAGUAUUACUGUGUUUAAGAGCCUUAUUAAGUAAUGGGUUUUAGACGGCACUAUCUCAUUCAGUUCAAUUCAAUCAGAUGCUCUAGAUGUCUCAAACAGCAAACGUUCAACACGUUUCUCAAAUUCAGUCUACCCAAUAAAACAUUUUAAUAACACAUUGCUUGGAAAGUUUGAAUUGUUUGAUAAAUAAAUCCAUACAGAAUAAUGUCAGUCAUUUUUUUUCUUUUACAAAGUUGCAUAUGGCAGUUUUUAGGCAAUUCAACAAAGGGUUAUUAUAGUUAACUAAAACUAUAUUUAAAAAAAUAUAUUUCUUGAAAUAAACGUUAACUGAAAUAAAAUAAAAAUAAAACAUGUUUAUUGUAACAUUUCUUAUUUAAUAAAUGCAUUUUUUUUAAAAAUUAAAUAUAAUUUAAAGUUAAAUAAAAUAAAAUAAACAAGAAUUAAAACACCCGUGGAGCUGCGAGUGAGGCCAAAGGUCAGACGGGUCAAAGGUCAGACGGGUCAGACAAACAGACUGUUUAAAGAGGUAAAUGCAGGUAAAAACGGCCGCAGCCCCAGCAAAGCAUCAACGGUCCGGUGUUGACCAAAUGACUUAAGGUAAUAAGAUAAUUGAGGAAGGUAUUAUUAGAUAAGCAAUGAAGAAAGGAAAAGGGUGUUCAGACAAAGUAUCUUAUCUUCUCAGAAGCAUAGCUUACAGAGUGACGUCUCACAUUCAACAUCAGUAUAAAAGAGCUGAGCUUCUUCUGCUGCAGGAUUGGGCACAUUGGGUUCAGUCUACACUCUCUAGCGGUUGAUCUCUGUGUU
ensembl:lncRNA